ACUUACAGGAUGUCUUCAUUCUCUGAUCUUAUUUCUGACCUUGUCGCUUACACACACAGACACACACACACACAAUCAUGGGGAGAGUCUUACCGCCGCUGCUGCUUCUGCUGCUGCUGGUGGCGCUAAGUCCUGGAGGCGCACCAAGCCCCAUCCUGGCCUUGGACUGCGAUGCUGCUGACACAGAAGUGAAAGAAGGACACACACGAAUCAUCAAGACCGAGGACCAUAAGAAGAUACUAUCAAAUGGUGACAUGAAACUGUUUGUGAAGGCUGAGAGUGACUUUAUAGGUGUCCUCCUUGAUGUUGAGGAAAGUGACGGCACCCAUCACACUGCCUGGUUCCCUGCUGAGGAAUGUUACCCGCCCAAUGGCAAGUGGCAGGAAUUCCGGGCGUGGGCAGGGCCAACCACAACAGGGUUUGAUUUGCGCUUAAGGUCUGGUACAUGCAGGAAGUGGUGCGAGAGCAGCGCUGCCUCACGAAACCCCGUCAGUCUCAGCAUUGUGGCAUACGGCCCUUCUAAGUGGAUAGUAGGAAAACCACCCGUGGGCUGUGACGUCGCCCUCGAUGUAGGCCCCCGUGCCAUACGACUGCCCACCUGCCAAGAGCCCCCGUCCACCGCCACUACCACCACCACCACUACGAUCUGUGGGAGACCCCUUCCUGUGAAAAUAAUAAUCAUAGUGGCGUCAGCAGCAGUAGUGGUGGCGGUGACAGUGGUGAUAGUGGUGGUGGUCUGUCUGAAGCGAAAUUCUGUGAGAUCACGUGAGGAGUGGCAGCAGCGACACCAUGGCAAAGCAGAGGCCCUGUGGGGGAGGCGGCAGAGGCAGAAGGCAGUGUGCUUGUCAAGUUUAUCAUCAAGCUGGAUCAAUGAGUUUGGCACCACAAUAUUGUUUGCUUGUACAUUUUAUUUUUUCCCUUUCUUUUCCUGUUUUUUUCCACUUCAUCUUUUUCUCUUUUCUUUCUUUUCUUUUCCUAUCAUUGCAGUGUUUUCAAGGAAUAGGGAACGUUUCUUGUUAUGAAGGGGUAGGGGUGAGCCAGUGUGUGCUGUGGGGUCUUGUAGUCUCAGGAUUGGACUAGGUGUGGGGUAGGGAUCCAAACUUAGUCUUUUUUUUUUCCCACUGGUCUCCUUGACCCAAUCUUCCCAAUGGUCUCCUUAUCCUGUCUUUGUUGCCCUUGGUCGCCACCUAAAGUUGGGUCACCAAGCCAUUUCAUUGGCUCGUCAAGGAUAUGUACACAAUUUUUUUCCCCAAUAUACCUAUUCAAAAUGUUAUCAAAGUAUUAAUCUUGUGUAUAGAAUACCUAAGUCAUUGACAUUUAAGGCCAGGCACACCAUAUAUACAUACACUAUUUAAUUGAGGUGAAGAAAACAGCCUAUAUGUAUUUUUGGCCUUUAAGUCUAACCAUUGGUUGAUAUUUGAGAAGUGAAGGGUGGGAGGGAGGGAGGAGGGUGGAGUGUAGAGGAAGCUGGGAGCUGAUGUGUCAGUGUCAUGCUGAUGUCAUGUCAGAUCUGUAUCAACUGCUCAGCUAGGAAGGUGAGGUGCAUGACAUGAUAGGUUUUUUGCAGGUCAUGUAUUUGACUGUGAAGUAUAUUUACAUUUCUAGUACUCCUAGUACUCUACAGCUUCUUCUACUACUACUACUACUACUACUACUACUACUACUACUACUACUACUGCUGCUGCUGCUGCUGCUGCUGCUGCUGCUGCUGCUGCUACUACUGCUGCUGCUACAGUUACUUAUAGUAACUGUAGCAUGGGUUGCCAUGGUCAAUCUGAAAAGGAUUUUGGGUUACAGGCAAAAAAAAAAAUUAAGAACCACUGCUCUGGGGAUAUUCUUCAGUGCUCUGGGGUCUUGUCUAGCUACUUUUAACAGGUUUUAAUGAAAGUUUUAAUGUUUUUAAGAAUUUUUAUUAAUUAAUUUAUUUAUUUUUGCUUCAGUUACACCUUUCACUUUGCGUUCAUUUAAUUUAAUUAGAGAAGGAAGAGAAGAACUGGAGGAGGAGGAGGAGAACUACUGUCACCAUAUUUACAUUUGCACUCUCACUAAUCACUGUUCGGCUGCAGCUGCGACAUUUGGAUCCUGGGACUGAAGGACAGAGAAGUGACCACCCUCAUCAAGGAAACCAGGAGAGCCACCAGCUUGGGAGGGUGUGGCAGUGUCUGGGAGGGUGUGGCAGUGUUUGGGAGAGUGUAGCAGCAUUUGGAAGGUGUGGCUGUGUUUGGGUGGAUGUUGCAGUGUUUGGGUGGGUAUUGCGGUGUUUGGGAGGGUGUGGGUGUGUUUGGGUGGGUGUGGUAGUGUUUGAGAGAGUGUACAUACAUAUAUACAUAUGUAGGGGCCUCUUAGAUAUUUAAAUGGCAAACCUUAGGAUUCAAAAAGUGCGGAAAAGUUAAAUGUUUUCAAUUGCAUUGUUUUGACUAUGUGUGUGUGUGUGUGUGUGUGUGUGUGUGUGUGUGUGUGUGUGUGUGUGUGUGUGUGUGUGUGUGUGUGUGUGUGUGUG